rnacentral:rRNA from 1 species
AACGAACGCUGGCGGCAGGCUUAACACAUGCAAGUCGAACGCCCCGCAAGGGGAGUGGCAGACGGGUGAGUACCGCGUGGGAACAUACCCUUUUCUACGGAAUAGCUCUGGGAAACUGGAAUUAAUACCGUAUACGCCCUACGGGGGAAAGAUUUAUCGGGGAAGGAUUGGCCCGCGUUGGAUUAGCUAGUUGGUGGGGUAAAGGCCUACCAAGGCGACGAUCCAUAGCUGGUCUGAGAGGAUGAUCAGCCACAUUGGGACUGAGACACGGCCCAAACUCAGACGGGGGGAGGAAGGGGGGAAUAGUGAAAAAGGGGCGAAAGACUGAACCGGCCAGGCGGGGGGAGGGAGGAAGGCGUAGGGGUUGAAAAGCUCUUUAACCGAGAAAAAAAAGGAGGGUAGUGGAAAAAGAAGCCCCGGCAAACUUCGGG